CGGGGUGUAGCGCAGCUUGGUAGCGCAUCUGCUUUGGGAGCAGAGGGUCACAGGUUCAAAUCCUGCCACCCCGACCA
rnacentral:tRNA from 1 species